AGAUGCAGAAGCAUUACACAGUGGCCUGGUUUCUUUACUCAGCCCCUGGGGUAGAUCCCAGCCCCCCAUGUAGGUCCCUUGGCUGGAAAAGGAAGAAGGAGUGGUCAGAUGAAUCUGAGGAGGAGCCGGAGAAGGAGCUCGCCCCUGAGCCUGAGGAGACCUGGGUAGUGGAGAUGCUGUGUGGGCUCAAGAUGAAGCUGAAGCAACAGCGAGUGUCACCCAUCCUCCCUGAGCACCACAAGGACUUCAACAGUCACAGCCCCUGGGGUAGAUCCCAGCCCCCCGCAUAGGUCCUUUUGCUGGAAAAGGAAGAGGGAGUGGUGGGACGAAUCUGAGGAGUCGUUGGAGGAGGAGCCACGGAAGGUGCUCGCCCCUGAGCCUGAGGAGAUCUGGGUGGCGGAGAUGCUGUGUGGCCUCAAGAUGAAGCUGAAGCGACGGCGAGUGUCGCUCGUGCUCCCUGAGCACCACGAGGCCUUCAACAGGAGAGGAUCCUGUCAUUAAAAGAUUCCUGGCCUGGGACAAAGAUCUGAGGGUGUCGGACAGUAUCUCCUGGCUAUGGUCAUAGCGUAUUUCAGCCGGGCCGGCCUCCCCUCCUGGCAAUACCAACGCAUUCAUUUCUUCCUGGCCAGCUACCUGGCCAAUGACAUGGAGGAGGACGACGAGGACCCCAAACAAAACAUCUUCUACUUCCUGUAUGGGAAGACCCGCUCUCGCAUACUCAGAUAGCCCUGUUCCAGAAACUUCGGUUCCAGUUCUUCUGUUCCAUGAGCGGCAGGGCUUGGGUUUCCCGGGAGGAGUUGAGAUCCAGGCUUAUGACCCAGAGCACUGGGUGUGGGCGCGAGAUCGCGCUCGCCU
rnacentral:lncRNA from 1 species